rnacentral:rRNA from 1 species
AAGCAUAUUAGUAAGCGGAGGAAAAGAAACUAACCAGGAUUCCCCUAGUAACGGCGAGUGAAGCGGGAAGAGCCCAGCACCGAAUCCCGUAGCUUGCGCUGCCGGGAAAUGUGGUGUUUAGGACGCUCCAUGCGGCGGUCUUCGCUGGCCCGAGUCCUCCUGAACGAGGCUUCGCCCAGAGCGGGUGUCAGGCCUCUACUGGCCGGCGUCGCCGUAGCACGGAUAGUCCUCGGAGUCGGGUUGCUUGGGAAUGCAGCCCAAAGCGGGUGGUAAACCCCAUCUAAGGCUAAAUACUGGCACGAGUCCGAUAGCGGACAAGUACCGUGAGGGAAAGUUGAAAAGAACUUUGA